rnacentral:rRNA from 1 species
UAAGCAUAUCAAUAAGCGGAGGAAAAGAAACCCAACAGGGAUUGCCCUAGUAACGGCGAGUGAAGCGGCAACAGCUCAAAUUUGAAAUCUGGCGUAAGCCCGAGUUGUAAUUUGUAGAGGAUGCUUCUGGGUAGCGGCCGGUCUAAGUUCCUUGGAACAGGACGUCAUAGAGGGUGAGAAUCCCGUAUGUGACUGGCUUGCACCCUCCACGUAGCUCCUUCGACGAGUCGAGUUGUUUGGGAAUGCAGCUCUAAAUGGGAGGUAAAUUUCUUCUAAAGCUAAAUACCGGCCAGAGACCGAUAGCGCACAAGUAGAGUGAUCGAAAGAUGAAAAGCACUUUGGAAAGAGAGUUAAAAAGCACGUGAAAUUGUUGAAAGGGAAGCGCCCGCAACCAGACUUUGCGGCGGUGUUCGGCCGGUCUUCUGACCGGUUUACUCGCCGCCGUGAGGCCAUCAUCGUCUGGGACCGCUGGAUAAGACCUGAGGAAUGUAGCUCCCUUCGGGGUGUGUUAUAGCCUCUGGUGAUGCAGCGCGUCUCGGGCGAGGUCCGCGCUUCGGCAAGGAUGAUGGCGUAAUGGUUGUCGGCGGCCCGUCUUGAAACACGGACCAAGGAGUCUAACAUCUAUGCGAGUGUUCGGGUGUCAAACCCCUACGCGUAAUGAAAGUGAACGGAGGUGGGAACUUUUUGUGCACCAUCGACCGAUCCUGAUGUCCUCGGAUGGAUUUGAGUAAGAGCAUAGCUGUUGGGACCCGAAAGAUGGUGAACUAUGCCUGAAUAGGGUGAAGCCAGAGGAAACUCUGGUGGAGGCUCGCAGCGGUUCUGACGUGCAAAUCGAUCGUCAAAUUUGGGUAUAGGGGGCGAAAGACUAAUCGA